CACGUAGGGCGCAAGCGUUGUCCGGAAUUAUUGGGCGUAAAGAGCUCGUAGGCGGUCUGUUACGUCUGCUGUGAAAACUCAGGGCUUAACCCUGAGCCUGCUUCCGAUACGGGCAGACUAGAGGUAUGCAGGGGAGAACGGAAUUCCUGGUGUAGCGGUGAAAUGCGCAGAUAUCAGGAGGAACACCGGUGGCGAAGGCGGUUCUCUGGGCAUUACCUGACGCUGAGGAGCGAAAGUGUGGGGAGCGAACAGG
rnacentral:rRNA from 1 species